rnacentral:hammerhead_ribozyme from 1 species
GCACUUCUGAGGAGUCCCACCAUGGGGCGAAACGGCCGUCCAGUGC